rnacentral:ncRNA from 2 species
CAAAUACAGGUUACUGAUCUGACGACGUCGAGAGACGCCCAAGGUUAGGACAGGCUUUAUCGGAUUAAGGUUUAGCCCAAAGUAACUUCUGUUAUACAGAUACGUUG